rnacentral:lncRNA from 1 species
UAUAAGGGAGCUACCAUUUGAUUUUUAUGGGGGGGCUAGGAUGAAAUUUGAAAAAAAUAGGCAGGACAGGAGUUUUGAGUAAAAAAAAAGGCAGGAUGAGCAACUUGGUAAAAAAAAAGGCAGGAUGACAAUUUGUGUAAAAAAAGUCAGGAUAACUAGUAAAAAAAAAUGCAGGACCGAAUAGAGUAAAAAAUAAAAAGGCAGGACAGAGAUUACACUUAAAAAAAAAAAGCAGGACAACAUUUUUCAUCCUAGCCCCCCCAUAAAAAUCAAAUGGUAGCUCCCUAACCACCUACUUGUUGCAUGAAAUUACUAUUUUAGUUAAAAUACUUUAAUUUCUACAUGUUUUUGACGUAUGAGUGUCAUUAUGAAAUUGGCCUUUUCAUUUAUCAAGAAAAUUAAGUAAAUAUAAAGAUUUGAACAGGUUUAUAGUUUUUACAAAUACAGAGGACAAAGAUUGAUUUAUUAUACCAACUCUUAUGGUUGAUCUAAACAAACCUAAAUGAUCGCGUAUGAUAAGAAAUAUCGUAAACUAAUUGGUUAUCGGGUUUACCAUGCAAUUGUGAUCGCAUCAAAUUUCAACACGUUAUAAAUAAGGUUUUAUUCUCAAUGAGACAACUUUCCAUCAUAUACCAUAGGACGGCAACCAAAGUUCACUUUCAA